rnacentral:rRNA from 1 species
UAGAGUUUGAUCAUGGCUCAGAUUGAACGCUGGCGGUAUGCUUAACACAUGCAAGUCGAACGGAAACGAUACUAGCUUGCUAGUAGGCGUCGAGUGGCGGACGGGUGAGUAACGCGUAGGAAUCUACCUAAUAGUGGGGGAUAGCCCGGAGAAAUCCGGAUUAAUACCGCAUAAUCUCUAUGGAGUAAAGGGGCCCUCUUCUUGAAAGGUUUCGCUAUCAGAUGAGCCUGCGUAAGAUUAGCUAGUUGGUGAGGUAAAAGCUCACCAAGGCGACGAUCUUUAGCUGGUCUGAGAGGAUGAUCAGCCACACUGGGACUGAGACACGGCCCAGACUCCUACGGGAGGCAGCAGUGGGGAAUAUUGGACAAUGGGGGCAACCCUGAUCCAGCAAUACCGCGUGUGUGAAGAAGGCCUGAGGGUUGUAAAGCACUUUCAAUUGUGAAGAAAAGUUAAUAGUUAAUAA